UCUUCCCCGAGCCGGGACAGGAGGGAGACCCAUUUAGAGAGCCUAAGAGGGAGCGACCCAUUGUCCAAAUUGUUGGGUAAUGUCAUCUCUUCCGUUCUCCGCUCCGAGCCGCUCACAUCUCUGAAGGACAUCUCGGGGCGCGGAGCGGGGCUGGCUGUAGCGCUUUAGGAGGGGUGUUGCGUGCACACGUUACACCAGCAGACACACGGGGUGGCAAGCCCGGUGAAGAUGACUUGAAAGAAGUGGUUGAAACAUCUAAACACAAGAGUUUUCCCUGUUUAGGAGACGCCAAAGAACUGAAUAUAAUGCUGCAGAUUUGUCAGUCCCAUUACUUUGUAUUAGUAGGACUUUCAUUAAACCUUGCUGAAAAUGGGGGGGCGGGGGAGGUGUCUCGAUUCUUUAAGGAGUAAAAUCAAAUGCUAGUGAAAUUUUACAAAUGAGCAUGUUUCUCUGACCAUCCUGAAAUUACAAGGUGUCUUUCUGCUGUCACAUUUUUAGCAGAGAUAUUCUAUGCUGGAUUUUAUUAGGCGUGUGGAAAUACAGUGCAGUACAGUACAAUGCUCAGAAGCCUGAGUAAUAUGUAAAUGUUUGUACAUUUUUCUACCAAAGUGCUUCUCUGGUAUGCUGCAAUAAAAUCUUUGUUGCCUUAAUUAGUUAUUGUUUAUAAGGGGUUUAAGGUCCUGGAACUGAUCCCAGUAUGAAAAAGAACAUAUUAAUAGUGGAUAACAAAUAAAAUUGGACCUUAUAUAUCA